rnacentral:rRNA from 1 species
GACGAACGCUGGCGGCGUGCCUAAAACAUGCAAGUCGGACGGUUCCGCCGCGAGGCGGGGCCGUGGCGGACGGCUGAGUAACGCGUAGGAACCUGCCCGGGCGUGGGGGAUAACGGUCCGAAAGGGCCGCUAAGACCGCAUGUGGUCCCGCGGGAGCGGGAAGAAAGCCGCGAGGCGCGCUCGGAGGGGCCUGCGUCCGAUUAGCUAGUUGGCGGGGUAAUGGCCCACCAAGGCGAUGAUCGGUAGCUGGUCUGAGAGGAUGAUCAGCCAGACUGGG